ACGCUCGACACCUACUGGAGGCAGCAGUGGGGGAUAUUGCACAAUGGGGGAAACCCUGAUGCAGCGACGCCGCGUGGAGGAAGAAGGUUUUCGGAUUGUAAACUCCUGUCGUACGGGACGAUAAUGACGGUACCGUACAAGAAAGCCACGGCUAACUACGUGCCCGCAGCCGCGGUAAUCUGAGCGGGCUGGCAAGGC
rnacentral:rRNA from 1 species